AUUGAACGCUGGCGGCAUGCUUUACACAUGCAAGUCGAACGGCAGCACGGGUGCUUGCACCUGGUGGCGAGUGGCGGACGGGUGAGUAAUGCAUCGGAACGUGUCCUGAAAGUGGGGGGAUAACGCAUCGAAAGAUGUGCUAAUACCGCAUAUUCUCUGAGGAGGAAAGUAGGGGAUCGAAAGACCUUAUGCUUUUGGAGCGGCCGAUGUCUGAUUAGCUAGUUGGUAGGGUAAUGGCUUACCAAGGCGACGAUCAGUAGUUGGUCUGAGAGGACGACCAGCCACACUGGGACUGAGACACGGCCCAGACUCCUACGGGAGGCAGCAGUGGGGAAUUUUGGACAAUGGGCGCAAGCCUGAUCCAGCAAUGCCGCGUGAGUGAAGAAGGCCUCGGUUGUAAGUCUCUUUCUAGUUGUAGUAGAAAAGUACGUAGACUAAUAAUACAUGAUUCAUGACGGUAUC
rnacentral:rRNA from 1 species